GAACCCGGAGAUAGCUGGUUCUCCUCGAAAUAGCUUUAGGGCUAGCCUCAUGGAUCAUUGGUGGGGGUAGAGCACUGAAUGUGCGCGGGGGCCACAAAGCCUACCAAACGCUAUCAAACUUCGAAUACCAUACAAUGCAGACCAUGGGAGUCAGUCCGCGAGAGAUAAGUUCCGCGGGCAAAAGGGGAACACCCCAGAUCAACCGCUAAGGUCCCCAAGUUCACGUUAAGUGGAGAAGGAUGUGGAAUUGCACAGACAACCAGGAUGUUGGCUCAGAAGCAGCCACACAUUUAAAGAGUGCGUAAUAGCUCACUGGUCGAGUGAUUGUGCGCCGAAGAUGUCCGGGGCUAAACGUGACACCGAAGCGAUGGGUGCGUCUGAAGAAGAUGCGCGGUAGAGGAGCAAUGUGCAGAGGCAGAAGCCGUAUCGAGAGGCACGGUGGACACUGCACAAGAGAGAAUGCCGGUAUGAGUAGCGAGAGGCAUGCGAGAAACAUGCCCGUCGAAAGCCCAAGGUUUCCUGGGGAAGGUUCAUCCGCCCAGGGUAAGUCGGGGCCUAAGCCGAGGACGGAAGUCGUAGGCGAUGGACAGCAGGUGUAGAUUCCUGCACUACCGAUGGAAUGAAGCAGUGACACAGAAGGAUAACUCGAGCAGGGUGAUGGUCAACCCUGUGCAAGCAUCAAGGUUGGGUUGUAGUGAAGUACGCAAUCCUAUAAGCUGAGGUGUGAUGCGGACCGAAAUUUCAGUAGGGAAGCGAGUGAGUUCACGCUGGCGAGAAAAGCUGCUAGUACAUCCAAAGGUACCCGUACCGGAAACCGACGCAGGUGGGCGAGGAGAGAAUCCUGAGACGAACGGGAGAACCCUUGUUAAGGAACUCGGCAAAAUGACCCCGUAACUUCGGGAUAAGGGGUGCCUGCGAGAGCAGGCCGCAGAGAAUAGUCACAAGCGACUGUUUAGCAAAAACACAGGUAUCUGCGAAAGCGAGAGCUGACGUAUAGGUGCUGACACCUGCCCGGUGCUGGAAGGUUAAGGGAACAUGUUAGAGCAAUCGAAGCAUCGAACCGAAGCCCCAGUAAACGGCGGCCGUAACUAUAACGGUCCUAAGGUAGCGAAAUUCCUUGUCGGGUAAGUUCCGACCCGCACGAAUGGUGUAACGACUUGUGAGCUGUCUCAACAGGGGGCCCGGUGAAAUUGAAGUAUGGGUGAAGAUGCCCAUUACCCGCGACUGGACGGAAAGACCCCGUAGAGCUUUACUGCAGCCUGAUAUUGAGUUUCGGUAACUGAUGCACAGGAUAGGUGGGAGUCUGAGAGACAUGGGUUUCGGCUCAUGUGGAGACGAUGUUGGGAUACCACUCUUCGGUUACUGAAAUUCUAACAUAGCUCUGUGAAACCAGAGGAUGGACAGUGUCAGGUGGACAGUUUGACUGGGGCGGUCGCCUCCGAAAGAGUAACGGAGGCGCCCAAAGGUACCCUCAGAAUGGAUGGAAACCAUUCGAAGAGCGCAAAGGCAGAAGGGUGCCUGACUGCGAGAUUGACAAAUCGAGCAGAGACGAAAGUCGGGCUUAGUGAUCCGGCGGUAUUGAGUGGAAAAGCCGUCGCUUAACGGAUAAAAGCUACCUCGGGGAUAACAGGCUGAUCUCCCCCAAGAGUCCACAUCGACGGGGAGGUUUGGCACCUCGAUGUCGGCUCGUCGCAUCCUGGGGCUGAAGCAGGUCCCAAGGGUUUGGCUGUUCGCCAAUUAAAGCGGCACGCGAGCUGGGUUCAGAACGUCGUGAGACAGUUCGGUCCCUAUCCAUCGUGGGCGUAGGAGUCAUGAGAGGAGCUGUUCCUAGUACGAGAGGACCGGAAUGGACGCACCACUGGUGCAACUGUUGUCGUGCCAACGGCAUAGCAGGGAAGCGAAGUGCGGAUGGGAUAAACGCUGAAGGCAUCUAAGCGUGAAGCCCACCUCAAGAAUAAGACUCCACAAUAGACCCCUGGAGGACUACCAGGUAGAUAGGUCAUCGGUGGAAGCGCUGUAAGGCGUGU
rnacentral:rRNA from 1 species